rnacentral:tRNA from 1 species
GGAUUGUGGCUCAGUGGUAGAGUGCUUGCCUAGUAUGUGCAAGGCCCUGGGUUUGAUCCUCAGCACCA